CCCCUCCCUAAAGAAGCCAAAUACAAUGUGUUUUCAUUGAAUCAUGACAAAACAACAAAGAAUAAUAACUGUUUCCAAUCAAGAAUCAUUUCACACCACAAGAAAUCGAAUUUUUCUCAACAUCCUUGAUGAGGAUAUUGAAAAAAUGGUAAGAGAUUUAAAUUUGUACCGCAUGUUUCUCAAGGCAAGCAUUUGUACUUCACAAUCUCCAUUCAAUUUGCUGUUUACAAGUUUCAACUAAUAUUACUCCAUACCU
rnacentral:misc_RNA from 1 species